rnacentral:rRNA from 1 species
UAGGGAAUCUUCCGCAAUGGGCGAAAGCCUGACGGAGCAACGCCGCGUGAGUGAUGAAGGUCUUCGGAUCGUAAAACUCUGUUAUUAGGGAAGAACAAAUGUGUAAGUAACUAUGCACGUCUUGACGGUACCUAAUCAGAAAGCCACGGCUAACUACGUGCCAGCAGCCGCGGUAAUACGCAGGUGGCAAGCGUUAUCCGGAAUCAUUGGGCGUAAAGCGCGCGUGGGCGGUUUUUUAAGUCUGAUGUGAAAGCCCACGGCUCAACCGUGGAGGGUCAUUGGAAACUGGAAAACUUGAGUGCAGAAGAGGAAAGUGGAAUUCCAUGUGUAGCGGUGAAAUGCGCAGAGAUAUGGAGGAACACCAGUGGCGAAGGCGACUUUCUGGUCUGUAACUGACGCUGAUGUGCGAAAGCGUGGGGAUCAAACAGG